AGAGUUUGAUCAUGGCUCAGGAUGAACGCUAGCUGGAGGCUUAAUACAUGCAAGUCGAGCGGGAUCCAUCCUUCGGGGUGGUGAGAGCGGCGCACGGGUGAGUAACGCGUACACAACCUACCUCUGACAGGGGGAUAGCCCUGGGAAACUGGGAUUAAUACCGCAUAUGGUUCCGAUAUAUAAAAGAUUGGAAUGAAAGUUCAGGCGGUCAGAGAUGGGUGUGCGUCUGAUUAGCUAGUUGGUAGGGUAACGGCCUACCAAGGCGAUGAUCAGUAGGGGGCGUGAGAGCGUGGUCCCCCACACGGGUACUGAGACACGGACCCGACUCCUACGGGAGGCAGCAGUAAGGAAUAUUGGACAAUGGCCGCAAGGCUGAUCCAGCCAUCCAGCGUGCAGGAAGAAGGCCCUACGGGUUGUAAACUGCUUUUGUCAGGGAAGAAACCUCUGGAUUGACUCCGGAGCUGACGGUACCUGAAGAAUAAGCACCGGCUAACUCCGUGCCAGCAGCCGCGGUAAUACGGAGGGUGCGAGCGUUAUCCGGAAUUACUGGGUUUAAAGGGUGCGUAGGCGGCCAGGUAAGUCAGGAGUGAAAGUUUGCGGCUCAACCGUAAAAUUGCUUUUGAUACUGCUUGGCUAGAAUUAGGAUGAGGUCAGCGGAAUGUGGCAUGUAGCGGUGAAAUGCAUAGAUAUGCCAUAGAACACCAAUUGCGAAGGCAGCUGGCUAGACCUGGAUUGACGCUGAGGCACGAAAGCGUGGGGAGCGAACAGGAUUAGAUACCCUAGUAGUCC
rnacentral:rRNA from 1 species